CAAUAGCGUAUAUUAAAGUUGUUGCAGUUAGAACGCUCGUAGUCGGAUUUCGGGGCGGGCCGACCGGUCUGCCGAUGGGUACGCACUGGUCGGCGCGUCCUUCCUUCCGGAGACCGUGCCUACUCUUAACUGAGCGGGGGCGGGAGACGGAUCGUUUACUUUGAAAAAAUCAGAGUGUUUCAAGCAGGCAGCUCGCUCUUGCAUGGAUUAGCAUGGGAUAAUGAAAUAGGACUUUGGUGCUAUUUUGUUGGUUUCGAACACCGAAGUAAUGAUUAACAGGGACAGUCAGGGGCACUCGUAUUCCGCCGAGAGAGGUGAAAUUCUCAGACCAGCGGAAGACGAGCUACUGCGAAAGCAUUUGCCAGGGAUGUUUUCACUGA
rnacentral:rRNA from 1 species